rnacentral:rRNA from 1 species
UACGUAGGGGGGCGAGCGUUGUCCGGAUUCAUUGGGCGUAAAGCGCUUUAAGGCGGUUCGCUAAGUCGGGUGUGAAACCUCCAGGCUCAACCUGGAGACGCCACUCGAUACUGGCGUGACUAGAGUUCGGUAGGGGACCACGGAAUUCCUGGUGUAGCGGUGAAAUGACGCAGAUAUCAGGAGGAACACCAGUGGCGAAGGCGGUGGUCUGGGCCGAUACUGACGCUGUAGAGCGAAAGCGUGGGGAGCGAACAGG